CACUGUGACCCCAUAAGUGACCCCGGGAUGACACUGUGACCCUGUAGGUGACACUGUGACCCUGUAGGUGACACCAUGACCCUGUGGGUGACACUGUGACCCUGUAGGUGACACUGUGACCCCAUGGGUGACACCAUGACCCCAUAGGUGACACCACAUCCCUGUGGGUGACACUGUGACCCCAUGGGUGACACCACAUCCCCAUGGGUGACACUGUGACCCUGUAGGUGACACUGUGACCUCACAGGUGUCACUGUGACCCUGUGGGUGACACUGUGACCCCAUGGGUGACACUCUGACCCUGUAGGUGACACUGUGACCCCACGGGUGACACCGUGACCCCGUGGGUGACACCCUGACCCUGUAGGUGACACUGAGACCCCACAGGUGACACUGUGGCUCUGUGGGUGACACUGUGACCCUGUAGGUGACACCGUGUCCCUUUAGAUGACACUGUGACCCUGUGGGCGACACUGUGACCCCACGGGUGACCCUGUGACCCCACGGGUGACCCCACCGCCACGGAGGACACGCCCGGUCCCCGAGGGUGACACUGUGACCCCCCCCCUCCAACAACCUCCGGAGGACACCACUGUGUCCCCUCCCCCCCUUGGUGG